rnacentral:lncRNA from 1 species
UAUUGGAUAGGGACAGAAAUUUUGCCUUGCAACAGGCCACCUACGGACCCCUCAAAGAGUUGUUGCAAGGGUUCUUAACGUGCAAAGAGCGUGGCACUCUCUUUACACGAGGCAUCGGAUUUAACGUCCCCCUUCUGACCGGACGUGACUGCGAACUUGAUACAUCCCGCACAGCCAACGGACGCCCCACUUUGGCAAGCGUUUUACUGCCGGUCGGGAGAAGAC